AACGAACGCUGGCGGCAUGCCUAACACAUGCAAGUCGAACGAGACCUUCGGGUCUAGUGGCGCACGGGUGCGUAACGCGUGGGAACCUGCCCUUAGGUUCGGAAUAACUCCCCGGAAGGGGUGCUAAUACCGGAUAAUGUCUUCGGACCAAAGAUUUAUGGCCUUUGGAUGGGCCCGCGUUGGAUUAGCUAGUUGGUAGGGUAAAAGCCUACCAAGGCGACGAUCCAUAGCUGGUCUGAGAGGAUGAUCAGCCACACUGGGACUGAGACACGGCCCAGACUCCUACGGGAGGCAGCAGUGGGGAAUAUUGGACAAUGGGCGAAAGCCUGAUCCAGCAAUGCCGCGUGAGUGAUGAAGGCCUUAGGGUUGUAAAGCUCUUUUACCCGGGAUGAUAAUGACAGUACCGGGAGAAUAAGCUCCGGCUAACUCCGUG
rnacentral:rRNA from 1 species